AUAUUUUACAGCAAGAUGGACUGGUCCGGUAUCGGUCGGCGCAGCAGUAAAUGUAGAGGGUACAAUUUUGUACCCUAUUGUUUGCUGGACAUUCAAAGAUGAUUCCAUAAAAACUCAAGAAAGUCGUAGGCCACGUUAAAGCGCCAGUCGUGUAUAGACUGCGCACGUGGCUGGCACCAUGGACCUCGUUGGAACUUGGAACCCAUGGCGUCCUGUUUAGAUAAAUGGAUCAGGUCUUGGAGUAGAUGUAUACUGUACAGUAUGGCUCGUUUCCCCUUUGCAUUCCCCCCAAAGAUGGAUCUACAAGAAGUCACGGAACAAGACUCUCCUGAUGUGGCAUAUGCAAUGAAAAGUGGCUUCCACUAUAACUCCAUUGUACCGAAGUGAAUUGUCCAAUAAAGUCACAACUGUA